GACGAACGCUGGCGGCGUGCCUAAUACAUGCAAGUCGAGCGGAGCACUUCGGUGCUUAGCGGCGGACGGGUGAGUAACACGUAGGCAAACUGCCUGUAAGACCGGGAUAACUACCGGAAACGGUAGCUAAGACCGGAUAGCUGGUCCUUCCGCAUGGAGAGAUCAUGAAACACGGCGCAAGCUGUGGCUUACGGAUGGGCCUGCGGCGCAUUAGCUGGUUGGUGGGGUAACGGCCUACCAAGGCGACGAUGCGUAGCCGACCUGAGAGGGUGAACGGCCACACUGGGACUGAGACACGGCCCAGACUCCUACGGGAGGCAGCAGUAGGGAAUCUUCCGCAAUGGACGCAAGUCUGACGGAGCAACGCCGCGUGAGUGAGGAAGGUCUUCGGAUCGUAAAGCUCUGUUGCCCUAGACGAACGCUUGGGAGAGUAACUGCUCUCAAGGUGACGGUAUAGGAGAAGAAAGCCCCGGCUAACUACGUGCCAGCCGCCGCCGUAACAC
rnacentral:rRNA from 1 species